rnacentral:rRNA from 1 species
AGUGAACGCUGGCGGUAGGCCUAACACAUGCAAGUCGAACGGCAGCACAGUAAGAGCUUGCUCUUACGGGUGGCGAGUGGCGGACGGGUGAGGAAUACAUCGGAAUCUACUUUUUCGUGGGGGAUAACGUAGGGAAACUUACGCUAAUACCGCAUACGACCUACGGGUGAAAGCAGGGGAUCUUCGGACCUUGCGCGGUUGAAUGAGCCGAUGUCGGGUUAGCUAGUUGGCGGGGUAAAGGCCCACCAAGGCGACGAUCCGUAGCUGGACUGAGAGGAUGGUCAGCCACACUAGAAGUGGGACAGGGUCCAGACUACUACGGGAGGCAGCAGUGUGGAAUAGUGGACAAUGGGGGGGAGCCUGAUCCAGCCAUACGGCGUGGGAGAAGGAGGCCUUCGGGUUGUAAAGCCCUUUUGUUGGGAAAGAACAGCAGCAGGUUAAUACCCCGCUGUUCUGACGGUACCCAAAGAAUAAGCACCGGCUAACUUCGUG